UUCUGGUUAUAAAACCUACAAAUGCUAUCAUUUACCACAACUUAAUUAUAGCAUCAUUACAACACAUUAUGACCCUUUGAUUGUUGGAGUUAUAAAAAAAAUGUUAAAAAUACAACAAUAUUACAUUAUCUAGCAAAACCUAUCAUACAUUAAUGAUUAGACUUUAAAUAUAGUAAUAUGUUUUUCAAGGAAAUAAUUACUAGAUGUUAUUUAAGACAAUUCAUACAUUGUUGUGUUAUUUUAUUAAAAUGAUCGCGUUUUUAUAAUUAUGACACUCUGGAAGGUUUUUCAGUAUCACGCCUGUAGUCCCAGUUACUCUGGAGGCUGAGGCAGGAGAAUCGUUUGAACUGGGAGGCAGAGGUUGCAGUGAGCUGAGAUCACGCCACUGCACUCCAGCCUGGGUGACAGAGUGAGAAUCCGUGUCAAAAGAAAAAAUAAAAUAAAUAAAAUAAAAUAAACAUAAAAUAAAAUUAGAAACUAUAUACCUAAAUUUGCAAAAUGCUUUAUGAUGUAUUCAUUAAAUUCAAUCCCUCCACAUCAAUACCAGCACAAUAUCUGAAAUAUCUCUGUUUACAGCCCGGAAAGAUUUUAUACUGUGCACCAAAGAUUAGGAUUGGUAGGGGUGUCUUUUUUCCCUAAGGAAGAAGAAAGGCACUGGGAAAAGUAAGAACCAGCAAAAUAACCAGGGCUGAUAAUUUUCAGGAAAGACAUCUAUAAAUGGAAGCAAGGGAUUUGAAAAUUGACUCCCUUAAAACUACUGCUGAUUCUGCUAGAAAUUAUUUGUAUAUCCUGAGGGUAUGAACACCUUAGUUUUUCUACUAUGAGAUGCUGAAUUUGAUAAUAAGAGUCAGUUUCAUGUAUCUAACUCAGGGAGCAGGAGGAAUGAAAGAAGGGUAACAGGCAGUAUAGAACCACUUAUUCCAGCUAGGAAGUUGGGGAAGCAUAUAACUAAAACUCUCUGCCCAGAGUGGAUACUGGCCAUAUACCUUCUUCUGUUAAAGGACCUGAUGGGAAAAUUUCAGAUAUUGGGUUUUUCUCCUAGAGCAACAAAAGAGACAAGCUGAAGUAAAAUGGAGUCAGUUUUAAAGCAGAUAGGCAGGUCAGUCCCUAGAAGGGCAUCAACCUAUGUAACUUAACUGGAAGUCUGUGUGUGUGUGUGUGUGUGUGUUUGUGUCUAUACAGCGUUGCCUGUAUACUUAUUUAUUUGUGUAAAAGAAAAUUCCCAUGAUGUGGUGUCCUGUGGCUUCUCCUUGUCAAGAGUGGGGUCUGUAAGGGACCUCCCCCACAUUGGCUCUACAUAGGUAAGGGGUGCGCCUGAAGAAAGGGAUGAAAAUACAGACUUACCAAAUGAACCUAUAAAA
rnacentral:lncRNA from 10 species